GUCUCUUCUCAGGAGCCCCCAUGGGAGACGUUGAGGUUUUGAUAUAAAGUCUGCCCACUGUCACCACUCUCUUUAAAAAGCUCUGUUAUUAUCAACUUAUCCCUUUUUUACCUCGAAGGGAAUCCACAUAACGUUUUGUUGUCUGUCUCUUGUGCGCACUCUGCGUGUUGAACACAACGUGUGCGCGUCCACUGGAGCUCACACCAGUGGAACAUCUGUGCUUUAGAUUUCCACAUCAUCACGCUCACCAGCACACCCCACGUCCACAAAGGUAACCUUGCAUAUAUAGGCCAGUAUUUAACUUGGAUCCACUAGUAUGCCUAAUGUAUCCAUCACGGUUUGGCUGUGCUUGUGCAACUUACUCAUUUCUUUGCAGGGCCAGUGAUGCAUAGCCUGUGUGUAAAACGUUGUGGGUUGUCGAAGUUAUCAAGUGGGAUUUGCGGCGCUCUCUGCAGGAACCUCCGGCUGCUAGAGUUCAAAGCCACAUGCACAGACGUGCCAUGCGAACCAUUAAAAUAUCUUCUUGGCUACUAGGCUAGUUUCUACAAGGCUUUUUCCAAGUCAGUCUUGGGAGACCAAGGGAAGAGGGCAAGUUUUGUUGUUCUCAACUUAACAAGUAGCUACACCUUCAACCUGAUCCGGCGUUUUAGGUAGCCCACUUCUCUGCUAUGCAAAAUUUGGAGGGAUCUUUCAACAGGUGGAAAACGGCCGUGGGUGCCAUGAAUGGUGACUGGGACACACUGUAAAGGGACAAGAGGGACUCUGGAUUCGACUGGCUCCCUGUGCAAAGAAAGGCAGUGAAGAGCAGCACAGACCAGCAGGUGGAGGUUCAAACGGGUCCCAGACCAGAGGCACCUCGGGAGGGAUCGGAUGGCUGCUGCCUUCAGGCCUGGCCAAAGUUUGACCCGCACUAAAAAACAGGCCUGUUCCAGACCAUUGCUGCUCUCCCCCUGCUAAAACAACACCAGGGAAAGUGUGCGUCAAUAUAGGCAAUAAUGAGGAGCUCAGUUGAUCAAAUUGCGGG